AAAGAAGUGAAGGAAGAACAUUGUAGUGCAAAGAUGAGUUUGUGAAUGAACUCUUUUACUUUAAAUGACAGUCACACUGUGGCCCUUCCUGAAUGGCAUUAUAAAAGACAAUUUAACAAAAACUAUCAGCUUGUAGGAAGAAUGUCAAAUAUAGUGAGAAAGAAUUAAAUGCCUUCCCCUGCUCUCCCCCAAUAAAGGUCAGACUGCCCCCCCUUCAGCACAAAGAAGAAGACCAACAAGUCCUCCAAAUUAAACAACAAAAUAUGUUGCUUGUCCAUGUCCGCCAGAAAUUUAGAAAAAAACAUCAUGGUUUGGGUUCAAAUGACAACUUCGUUAAGGUUAGGGGGUUAGACCUUUGUCGUCAUGGUUACAAUAUUAAACGCAUGGUUAAGGUUACGGAACGAUGGUGGUCAUGGUUAAAAGAAACCAGCGUUGACUGACGGUUGUCAACAGGAAACAAACAGCGGUCUCCGGUGUUAAAGUCCAAUGUUUUGCUGAUCCACACACCCAUGCCGACCUCCUCCACAUGCAGGUUUUGUCGGUCAAUAACUAAAUCACACUGUUUCCUCUGUUGGGCCUCACCACGUGUGAAGAACAAAAGACAGCGGCCUAGAUGGGAAAGGCAAAUCCUUGACCCAAGGCUUGAAUGGAAAACAAAGGCCAAAUAAUAAAAUAGCACCAAAUCUCUAGCCGUUAAUUAACGUUGAACUUUUAUUUUCCUAGGACAGCUCGCUGGACGAGCAACAGACUGCUUUGUGUUUGCUGAAACACUUUUUGGAUCCCGAUUGUUAUACUCCGCAUAACAAUCAGAAGGAAAGAAGGAAAGGACACAGAUUUACUGUUUUCUUCACGGAGAAAAGGACAGCGGCUGAGCCCCACUUUCUCCCCACUAGAGUCAACUGCUGCUUCCCUCCGUUGCCCCCCGAAGGAACAGUUUUACCGUUGAACCCGCCGACAGCGCGGACCCGAACACGUCAGUAUCCAAGCUUGAGAGGAUUUCACCGGAUAGCCCUAAACGGACUGACGCUAGAUAGUUUUCAUAACUGUGUUAUUUCAUCUAAGCUUCAUUGCUGUGAAUUGUGCUUUGCUUAUUGUGGGAAGUAAUGUACCGCAUGUCCUAUUUUGCUGUGUGUUUUUGUGCGUUGCACGUUCCAUUGUGUAUAGGUACCACAUUGUUGGUGUUUAUUUAGCCACUGCGGAAGCUAGUAACUGUGCUUCAUCAUUUGUCAUUUAUCUUUGAAAGCCAUAACCCUCCUCCUUCUCUGAAUCCAAACCCUACCCUCCCAGUCAUUUUUAUACAAUCCCUUCACCUGUGGUUGUAUGGCAAGCAGUUGUGGCCUUCUCUACUCUGCUUCCUUGACAGCUGAUUCUAUUCAGAUGGAAAAUGACUUCACCAACAUCUCAUCGAUGCUUGUUGGGGGAGGUAUUUCUGCAGAAGCAUUUCUUGCAGCCGUAGCAUUGCGUGUGAGAAGAUGACAGAUGACUCCUUCAACUGUACUUCAACUCAGCGUGCAGCUUUCAACCACGAAGGGACUCGAACCCUCAUUCUUCUGAUCCGAAGUCAGACGCCUUAUCCAUUAGGCCACGCAGUCUCUUGAUAACCUAGGCUACAGUUUGUCUUGAUUGAUUGACUGUGACUAGCAAAGGCAAAAUGUAUUAAGCAUGUAAUUAUGUUGAGCAUUAGCUCUCAGAGUAACUCUUUAUGGACUAUUGUUCUUCAUUGUUCACCACGAAGGGACUCAAACCCUCAAUCUUCUGAUCCGAAGUCAGACGCCUUAUCCAUUAGGCCACAUGGUGUCUUGAAGAGCACAAUCAUCUUGCAACAGAACUCAUCAGGGACAGAACAAAAAGCAGUACCUGUGUGUUUAUGUCGUGCUCCUUUGCAAAAUAAUACACUACUGUUGCAAAUAAUCAAUUAAUGGACUAAUUGUUUCAGCUCUAAAGAAGCAUAUACUGUAUACUGUACUGAAUGUAUCUGUUACUCAGACAUGUUUAUUGAUUCCACGCUUUUGCAGUGGAAAGUGAGACUUGUUGGGUCAAAUUCAGAAUGUAAACAUUACACUAAAAUGUCUAUUUAUUUAUCUGGAACAGUUGGUUGAUCUUGUGCUGCUGAUGAGGUUCUUGUUUUUUGUACAGCGUAUUAGGCUGACACCAACUAUUUCCAAGCAAAACAGCUGAUGGAAAAUCUUCCAUUUCCCCAUGUUAACAUAUUAGUCAGAUAAAACAUGGGACUGCAUCUAUAUUGACAGGCUUGAUGGAAUAAUAGCUGUAUCUCUCACACAUGUUUGUGUUGUGGGAUCACAACAACACAGUCUAACAGGGAUGUAUCCCAAAAGUGUGGCAGCUUUACUUGUGUCACACUUAAAGCUUGCAAUUAAAGCCCUACAGUAUGGUUGGUAUGUGUGUUUGUGCAAUAUAAUGUUUAUUCCUGUAUUUUGCUUUCAUAGAAUGUAAAUAAAUACACAAAUAGGUUGUUUUUUGGA